rnacentral:rRNA from 1 species
CCUACGGGUGGCUGCAGUUAGGAAUUUUGCGCAAUGGGGGAAACCCUGACGCAGCAACGCCGCGUGGAGGAUGAAGGCCUUCGGGUUGUAAACUCCUUUUAGCUGGAAAGAACAAAAUGACGGUACCAGCAGAAAAAGCACCGGCUAACUCUGUGCCAGCAGCCGCGGUAAUACAGAGGGUGCAAGCGUUAUUCGGAAUCACUGGGCGUAAAGAGCGCGUAGGCUGUUUGAUAAGUCCGAUGUGAAAUCCCUGGACUCAAUCCAGGAACUGCAUC